GGCUGGUUCUCAGGUGAUGCACCCCAGAAUCGGGCUCCCUCCUCUCUGGUUCCAGGUGCGUCAUUACCCAAGAACCGCU
rfam:Myotis davidii contig230240, whole genome shotgun sequence.